rnacentral:tRNA from 1 species
GGAUAUAGCUCAGUUGGUAGAGUGCUUGCCUUGCAUGCACAAGGCCCUGGGUUCCAUCCCCAGCACCA